UUCCCCCUUGGCCGCCGCCCCCCUGCCCAUCUCCUCCUCUCUCAAUUCUUGCAACCACCAAACCCUAGCCGCCCCCCCUCUCAAUCCCCUCCUCCCAAGGUGCCAAUACUUGCCGCUCGGAUCAUCGUCGUCGUGGUGCGAGUCUUCAAUCAUUUUGGUGGAGGGAAGAAGGGAGGAAGGAAAGGGGGAGAAUCCAAGGUGAUUUUUGUGUUCAUGCCUUGUUCAUUUGCGCUGCAAUUUAAUUGAUUAGAGGUUGCGUUUGCGAUUGGGUAGAGGGGGGCUGUCCAGAAUUUUAGGUGGUGGGUGAACAGAAGUAGUCUAGCAGUUUCUGUGUUUUUUUCGUGAGGAAUUAAGGGAAAUCAGUUUGGGGAUCAUGUAGAACUUUACCUUACCUUUCCAACGAGUAUUUAUGCGCUCAAUUUGGAGUUAUAAAUUGAAAGUUAUCACCGUUUGAAUCCGGGUAUGUGGCUGUCCAAAAAAACAGAUUUUUCAGGGGAAUGAACAGCAGCAGUAUUAGCAGUUUCUGGGGAUUUUUCGGGAGUAAUUAGUGUUAAUCAGUAUGAGAAUCAUGUAGGGCUUUAUGUUAUCUUUCCAACAAGUACUUACGCGCUCGAUUCGGAGUUAUAAUUCAGGAGAUAUCGUUGUUUGAAUCCGGUUAUGUUGCUGUCCAAAAAAAACAGAUUUUUCAGGUGGGUGAACAGCAGUGGUAUUAGCAGUUUCUGGGAAUUUUUCGUGGGUAAUUAGUGUUAACCAGUAUGGUAAUCAUGUAGGGAUUUGUCUUAUCUUUCCAAUGAGUACUUAUGCGCUUGAUUUGGAAUUAUAUUUUAAAAGAUAUCGCUGUUUGAAUCUGGGUAUGUCGUUGUCCAAAAGACAAAGAAAAACAUAUUACAGGGUUCAUCUUGUGGACUGUUUUGGGCUAAUUAUAUAUUGGAAUUUAAUUAUAAAUUGUAUACAAAACUUGUGGGGAAUUUUAUGUAGAUGCCUCUGGAGUUUUUGUUUGUUACCACUGCUGUCAUAAUUUUAAAGUUAUGAAAUUAUUAAGCAGCGCCGCUGCAGUUUGGUGGGUGUAGGGAGAGAUGUAACCCGCGGCGGGGUUUGAGUUUGUGCGUAGGUGCGGCGUCGCUUAUGAGCCUGAUUAUGUGAAAUUGGUGUACUAAGUUGGGUGUCAAAAACAGGUGAUGGACUUCCGGAUCGUACUUAGGGAUUUGCCCGAACUUCCGGUAAAGGCAAGUAAAUACAGUGGUGGUUGCUACCGUUUGGUUUGCAUCCUAUUCCCUGUCAUUGAGUAUGCAUAAGUUUUAAUUAUGUUAAUCAUUGAAUUCUAUGAUGAAGUUUAUUUGUUUGGAAGUAUUAAUUCUCAAUUGUUAUUGUGGAUGAUCAUAAUUUGGUAAUGAUAUAUGUGGUUGAUUCCCAUCUGGAUGAAGUUGAAGUGUCUUUUUGAAUCAUGUUAUAUGAAGUGUUGUAGGCAUGACAUGCACAUCGCAUCAUCCAUCUUGCAUUUUGAAGUUAUGUCGUGAUCUUAUGGUCCGACCGUACCGGUACAUUUUUAGCAUCGUACGUUGCCCGAGUAGGGGUACUAUGCGGCUUCAUAUCCCUAGAGGUAUGAAGGCAGAAGUCAUCCUUGCAUUUGCAGACAUUUGCACUCAUGAGGAAUAUAUGAAGUGUGACAUUACUAUGUUACUAUUGUGGUUUCUACCUGCGAGGUGUGGUAACUAGGUGCGUUGUACGUUGUAUAUGUGCUGCACCUUCGUAAUAAGAAGGUUGUGGAAUUAAGUGAUGGUAAAACAAUGUUUUUAUGUGGUUAAACUGUUUGAUAUUAUUUUACUUGCUGAGAUGUGUCAUCUCACUCUUGCAUUACUCAAUGCAGGUACUUGAUACAUGUUGGGAAUGAGGGGAGUAGCAGCAC
rnacentral:lncRNA from 1 species